UUUGCCUCUUAUCAUUGUAUCAUUCACCAGGAAGUAUUAUGUUCAAAGGUGAUUCCUUUCCAAGAUAUAAUACAAACUGUAACCAAAAUUAUAAAUUCAAUAAUAGCAGGAGCUAUGCAACACAGGUUAUUUAAAUUAUUGAUGCAAGAAAAUGGCGCAGACUUUGACGAUCUGAUUACACAUAGAGAAGUACGGUGGCUGAGUAAAGGAAAAGUACUUGAGCGGUUUUUAGAUUUAUUACCUCAAGUAAGAGAAUUUCUAUUAUCCAGAAAUGAAGUUUGUCCGGAGUUAGAACAAGCACCUUGGUUAAUUCGGCUUGUUUUUUAAACUGAUUUAACUGUAAAAUUAAAAGAAUUAAACUUACAACUACAAGGCAGAAAUCAUCAUAUUGCUUCCAUGGUAAAUGCGGUAAAUGCAUUUAAAGCUAAAUUGGCGCUCUGGAAGUUCCAUAUGGAGAACAAUAAUUUAUCACAUUUCCCAAA
rnacentral:lncRNA from 1 species